CCUACGGGGGGCAGCAGUGAGGAAUAUUGGUCAAUGGACGAGAGUCUGAACCAGCCAAGUAGCGUGAAGGAUGACUGCCCUAUGGGUUGUAAACUUCUUUUAUAUGGGAAUAAAAUGUUUCACGUGUUGGACUUUGUAUGUACCAUAUGAAUAAGGAUCGGCUAACUCCGUUCCAGCAGCCGCGGUAAUACGGAGGAUCCGAGCGUUAUCCGGAUUUAUUGGGUUUAAAGGGAGCGUAGGUGGAAUGUUAAGUCAGUUGUGAAAGUUUGCGGCUCAACCGUAAAAUUGCAGUUGAAACUGGCAGUCUUGAGUACAGUAGAGGUGGGCGGAAUUCGUGGUGUAGCGGUGAAAUGCUUAGAUAUCACGAAGAACUCCGAUUGCGAAGGCAGCUAACUGGACUGCAACUGACACUGAGGCUCGAAAGUGUGGGUAUCAAACAGGAUUAGAUACCCUUGUAGUC
rnacentral:rRNA from 1 species